GGGUACACUAGCUGUAAGGUGAAUAUUAAAGCUCUUCAGUACUAGAAGCAGGGUACACUAGCUGUAAGGUGAAUAUUAAAGCUCUUCAGUACUAGAAGCAGGGUACACUAGCUGUAGGGUGAAUAUUAAAGCUCUUCAGUACUAGAAGCAGGGUACACUAGCUGUAGGGUGAAUAUUAAAGCUCUUCAGUACCAGAAGCAGGGUACACUAGCUGUAGGGUGAAUAUUAAAGCUCUUCAGUACUAGAAGCAGGGUACACUAGCUGUAGGGUGAAUAUUAAAGCUCUUCAGUACCAGAAGCAGGGUACACCAGCUGUAGGGUGAAUAUUAAAGCUCUUCAGUACUAGAAGCAGGGUACACUAGCUGUAAGGUGAAUAUUAAAGCUCUUCAGUACUAGAAGAAGGGUACACUAGCUGUAGGGUGAACAGUAAUGGUCUGAUAUACAGUAUCAGGGGGAUGAAGGGACAGAGAGAUGUAGUCUGGUCCCCUGCACCAGUCCAGCCACAUGACUACUGAGCCUCACAUACUCACACGUUGCCAGACAUGUUCUGUUCUGUAGUGUGAAGAGGACUCUAGAGUGGUGAGAGACACGUGGGUCAGCACACACACACACACACACACACACACAGACCUGCACUCUCUCUCUCUCUCACACACAUACAAAAAAAUAGUCAC
rnacentral:lncRNA from 1 species